UAAAAACUCCCUCCUGUUCCAUGGUCCCCAACAAUUUCCUUAUAACAAAAAGGAUCCUGCGGAAAUCUUUGGACUUUUGCUGGGGGUGGGGAGAAAUUGGAAAGGUUUUAUUUCUAAAAUAUCACCGCUGAUGACUAGAGAUGGGGGCACAGCUGGACUUAAUGAGGGUCCCGUCUCUGGAGCCAGACGGUCCACUCAUGUGUCCGGCUGCGGCCUUGCUCAUCCUUCCAAUCACACCCGGAGUGCCGCUCGGCUAGCGAGGCUGCCACCACCACUGGACACGUGAGUGGACGGUCUGGCCCCAGGGGCUAGACCCUUGUUAGGACCCUUGUAUGUGGAUAUUCAUAUUCGUAUACAAAUACCCCCAUCUCUACUGAUGACAUAAUCAGUCUAAUAUGACACUGCUAUUCAAACAGGAUUUCAGCCACUAUAUACAAGGCAUCAAACAACACAAGUCUUGUUGAAACCAUGGAAAUGCAUCUAAUAAUAAAUAAUAUCUAUCAAGUGCAUAAAAAAUUAAGUUCUGUACAAAAUAUGCUAAUAGUACAAUUCUCAUAUCUGAUCACAGGUACACCACAUUGAGUCCAGUAGUUCUUACUCCUGGACAGUAAGUAUUGGAUGACAACCUAAAUAAUUUAAUGGCCUUGCAGUCAAAUUUAGAGGGAAGCAUCAGCUACUAAAGAAAAAAAGUGGGGCGGGGAGGGAAAACUGCAGUAUAUAAUAAGCAACAAAACAGAGAACAGAAAGGAAAACAGAGAAAUCAGAGAGGAAGCACCACUUAAGAGAAUGAGUACAGUUCAGUGUCUUCUGAUCCAGACUCCUUGGACCAGAACUACGAAGCUACAGUCUAAAGCCAUCCUAAAAGGUAAGGAAAGUGUUAGCCUCUCCACACAACUUUUUAAAUUAUGUUACAUUCAUUUUCAAAUGGCUAAUUUUGCUUUUUCACCCAAGAUGCACCACAUGUUCUUGCAGAACAAGAUACAGAGAUUUAAUUUGUCAAGACUAUAGAAAAGAGUCUCAGAGAACAUGAGGAAGAAUGCAAUUCAAAGGAGCCUCUAAUAGAUAGGAUCAUGCUGGCUGAUACUUACAGGACUUGUCACACAAGGCAUGUGUAGGAAGACAGGCUGCAGAAUACCAUUUUAUGAGAUGGGUGAAGUGAAAAACUUUGAAGAGACAUCUAAGAUACAAGCAGAGGUCAAAUACACGGUCCAGGAACAGGAGCCUGGGAUACAAAUUGUAGGCUUUCGGCCAUGCUUGGACUCAACGUUUUAGCCUCUUACCAUCAGAACCAUAGCUAUUACGCUGGAAGGCAUGGUUAAGCUGAAUUUUGCACCACUACCCUUCUCUAAAGUUAGUGUAUUUACACGGUGCCACUUCCCAGCAUGGCACCUUACCCUUACUUCAUCACUGUACUAAUAAUCGUUUUGAUGAGUAAAUGUUGUUUAUGUAUUGCUGAGCCAUUGACUUGUAUAGGUCAGCAGCCAGAUGCCAUGCUGAACACCAUCCCAUGAUAAUGUAUGCUGAUGAUGUCAAUUUCCUUGUAAUUUCCUUUCCACCCCACCCCCAUUCCCACACCUCUCAGGAGACAGCCAGUAC
ensembl:lncRNA